CUGCCGGCGACCGGCGCACGGGUGAGUAACACGUAUGCAACCUGCCCUCCGCAGGGGGAUAACCCGGAGAAAUCCGGACUAAUACCGCGUGGUACACCAGUGGGGCAUCCCACGGGUGUUAAAAGGAAGCGAUUCCGGCGGAGGAUGGGCAUGCGGCGCAUUAGCUAGUUGGCGGGGUAACGGCCCACCAAGGCGACGAUGCGUAGGGGUUCUGAGAGGAAGGUCCCCCACACUGGUACUGAGACACGGACCAGACUCCUACGGGAGGCAGCAG
rnacentral:rRNA from 1 species